rfam:Ailuropoda melanoleuca scaffold2679_11, whole genome shotgun sequence.
GCCUGGCUGGCUCAGUCUGAAGAGCAUGCGACUCUUGAUCUCAAGGUUGUGAGUUCGAGCCCUGCGCUGGGUG